GAAGCCCAACAAGUAUUUUUUUCUCCAUCUUAAAAAGCCCAAUCAAAUCUUUUUGGACACUUCGUUUUUCUCUGCACCUCCCACAGUUGAAAAUAAUAAUGUGGAACAGGACAUAAAUGUUGGAGAUGACAAUAAAAAAUGGUGAGAUGAUUAAUAGGGUACAUGUGACAUGCGCAGAAGAUAUCUGGAACUUUAAUGAUAUUCGAGAUCUGCUAUGUUCUAUACGGAUAAUUGGUUUUUUUUUUUUUUUUUUUUUUUUUUUUUUUUUUUUUUUUUUUUUUCGAUUCGUGUUUUAGAUAUCCGCAAAAUCCGUAUUUCAUACGAUUAUUAUAUUUCACCCCAAAAAUAAAAAAAAAUCCAAAAACCCAAACACUUUCAUACGAUUAUUAUGUUUUAAGAAAAAAACGGAUAAUUGAUGAGACGCAUAAAAGUGUUUGGGUUUUUGGAUUUUUUUUUAUUUUUCGUAAGGCGAAUUUGUUACUAGAUUCUGAGACAAGAUUGAGGAGCCGAUGUUUGAUGAGAAGCUGCCGAGAAAUAUCACAAUUUUAUUGUCUUAAGUCGCACUUUUGCUGAAUCAUAAAGGAAAUGUAUCACACGCUUCAGUCUUAUGUAAAUAAUUAUGAAUUUACUUGGAUGACAACUUUUUUUCUUAAACAUAAAAGAAAGAUGAAAAAACUUGGAAUGAUUCUAGCAGUAAAGGGUAGAGUGAAUGAGGUAAGGUUUUGGAGAUGAUUCCCUAGUCUAAGUCCUUGUACUAGAUGGGAGAUAAAAUACAAUUAAAGUGUUGAGAUUUAGGGAGUCCUUGUCCAACUCUAUAUUUUCCGAAUAGUAUUGUCCACUUUAAACCUAAGAGAUUAGUAUGCAUGGAUUUACUUUUGGGUUCAUUUCCAAAAUGUCUCGUCCUAAUUAGAGUUGAACAUAUCUUUAUAUAUUAGAAAUUAUGUGUCUAAUUUUCUAAUGUGAAACUUAAUUUGAUAUCUCACAUUUUCCCUUCAAACUAAGAACCACACUCAUUUCAUGUCUCACAAUUAAAC
rnacentral:lncRNA from 1 species